CAAAUCGGUUGCGACGUCGCGAUUCGCCGCGAACCGCGAAUUUUAUUCGUUUUCGUCGAUUUUGAGAGGGUUUUCGUUCCGAAAACGCCCUCGGUCGUGUGUUUGGGUCCUUCCCCUGCAGAAGGAAGAGACUCCAACGUGAAAAUCCCCGCUGAAGAGGGACAAAAGUGUUUUUUUUCCUAAUGGGAAUACGGAAUCUUCCCGAAGAUGGGAAUAGUGUAAGGUUUUUUUUAAUGUUUCCCAGCCUACAAGCGGCUGGUUCACCGUGUUGGCAAGUGUCACGGUAAACAGAAAGUGGUGUUCGCUGCAACCGGGGCAGCUAUAUGGAAUUUCGACGCGGGCAGUACAGGUGACCCGUACCCAAACAAAGGGAUUCGACAUCAACCUAUGCCACGGGGAAAAACUGACUACGCGGGUUUAAUAAGAUUCGCCGGCCAGAAUCCGAGAUUCUUCCCAUUCGAAUCGACCAACUCAUAGGAAGAAACACCGCGCCGACGAAGAACUUUCGCGGAUCGUCGUCUGAAGCGCCUGAAGUUCGACUGAAGUCAUCUCCCGAAGCUAUUUCUUCACCAUGGACAGUAAAGAAAUGACCAAACUCCUUUGACACGAAGGUGGAAGCGUUGUCGCUCAGAAGAACUUCAGGACACCCGUGACGAUUAAACCACUGCUCCCGAAGAAUGGAACAAAGCGAGCUGCUUUGGAUUUUCCGAACAGGGGCCAACAUGACGUAUUUGCUAAACACGUCCAGCACUACAAGCAAAUGUUGGUUUCUCCGUUUACUUCUUGGGAGUGGGCCAAUAUAGUCCACCCAGGGGGCUCUUGUGGCUGUCAAACUCCAUACAUUUUCCAUCUACCACUCAUUGAUUCUGGUACCAGCGUUUCUGGUACCCACUUUUUGGUUGGUUUGCCCUAAAACAAAUGGAGUAGAGUAAACGUCCCAUUUUGUUGGUAGACUUAUUCUCGAGUAAAUGUCGUUUUAGAUGCGAAAAAACAAGAGCUCAACAUUUGUUUUCAGUACAAUGUGCACUUUCAAUGAAUAAGAUAAGUUUUGUAAGCAUUUGGAAUGAAACAUUACCGCCGUGAUGAAUUUAUGAUUGGUAAGCAAAAUGUUGACGUUUAUAGGCCCCUGAGUCCACCGAAAUCAUCCUCCAUGGUGAAUUUGACGUUCGGGCCUGCCCUAGUGCAGGUUGGACCGGAACAAAAGGAGCUUUUAUCUCCUUGCACGUCUCACACUGCUGCAAAUACUUUCUUAUUUGCGUUGCCAUGCUUGGCCAGAAAUAACGGAGUUUGAUUUCAUGAAGGGUUUUUCAAACCCCACGUGGAGAAGAUUUUCGUGCGUCUUCUCAAUGAUAUCGGGGUGACACUCCGGAGCUGGAAUCAGUUUCCAACCAAACCGCGAGUCGCAAAGAACAUCCUCAUCCCUGACGUACUUGUACAGUUGACCACUUUCGACUUUAAAGUCACAGUACUUAUCAGGGUUUGCGAUUACCUUGGAUUUUAGACUGCAGUACCAAUCGGACUUUGUCACCGCCGAGAUUUCGUUCACGGCACGAGACAAAGCAUCUGGGACGACAUUGUCUUUGCCUUUACGAUGCUCGAUAGUCAUAUCGUAGAGUUGUAGCUCUAAACUCCAGCGACUCAGACGGGAACCAGUCUUCCACUUGGUUUGCAUAAUCCAGGUAAUCGCUGAGUUAUCUGUGACCAGUCGAAAGUGGUAACCUUCCAAAUAGCCUCGGAAGUUUUCCACUGCCAAAACGACCGCAAGCCCCUCCUUUUCGGUGGCAUGGUAGUUGCGUUGCGGUGUAGUAAGCUUAUGAGAGAAGUAAGCUACUACUUUCUCGCCAUCGGGAUGCUGUUGCGCAAGCACUGCUGCCACUGCAGUGUCGCUCGCAUCAGUUUGGAGGAUGAAUUCCCUCGAAAAAUCCGGUGAAACCAAAACUGGUGGAGUGAUCAACUUCUCCUUGAUCUCAAAAAAAGCCUUUUCGGCUUCGGUGUUCCAGCCAAUCUUCUUCGACUUCGUUUUGAGCAAAUCUGUAUGCGGCGCCGUCACCUCACUGUAGUGAUUUAUGAAUCGGCGGUAAUAUCCGCACAUGCCCAAGAACCGACGAAGUUUCGUUACCGUGAUCGGUCUCUCGUAGUCGAGAAUCGGUUGGAUUUUCUCGGGAUUGACUUUCAAGCCGUCGCGAGAAAGGUAAUAGCCUAGAAAUUUUAGUGUGGAACACCGAAACGGGAUUUCUCAAGAUUUACCGUCAAGUUGGCUCUCCUUAAGCAGUCGGCAACCUCUUGGAGAAGUUGUACAUGGUGCUCAAAGGUUUCGCUUACCACGAUGAUAUCAUCGAGGUAAACGAAGACGUACGGCUCGAGUUUGCCUCGACCUAGAACCCGGUCCAUCAACCUUGCUAGAGUCGCAGGACUAUUGACUAGCCCAAACGGUAAUCGGGUGAAGUGAAACAUUCCGCGACCAGGCACACUGAAGGCUGUAUACUUUCGGCUGUCUUCCGCUAGCGGGACCUGAAGAAAAGCUUCUUUCAGAUCAAUUGUCGACAGAAACCUAGCUUUCGGAAGACUGCCUAGUAUACGACCAGGGUGCGGAAGCGGAUAGGCAUCGCGUACGGUACGCUCGUGAAUGGGCCUAGCGUCUAGGCAAAGGCGAAUGGAGCUAUCGGGUUUCGUUACGGCCACAAUAUUCAACGACCACUCCGAAUCGGACUCUUCUAUGAUUACCAUCGAACGCCAUCUGUCUACCUCGACCCAUACUUUGGACAGUUUUUCUGGACUCAUCUUGUACGGAAAGCGGAUUACUGGAUCCUUACCUCGGAACUCCUCUUUUAUUACAAUCCUGUGCUCAGUCAAGGUGGUUGUGUUCAGUUUACCGGGAACAACGCCCUGGAAGAAAGACUUUACCUCAUCUACCCACUGCGCUUGUUCUGGAGUGAGUGUCGAUUCAUUCGAGCAUUAACCCCCAAAACCCGCAUCUGACCAGGGUUAACCACAGCACAUUCAUGUAGUUCUGGAGUAAUUCCAAAGGUUCUCCAAAAAUCCAUCCCCAACAGACAAUCCACACUCAAAUUUUCGACGAUGAGGGUACAAACGGCUUUGGUCUUCUUUUCGAAGGUGAAAGGAAGAUAGCACUGGCCUUGAACAGGCAUGAUCUGACCACCAGCCGAGCGUAACUCGCAUGGUUGAUCUAAAUCCUUCAAAGCGGUGGGGGAAAUUCUCUGAAGAAGUCGCAUGCUCAUGAUCGUGGCAUUACUGCCACUGUCGAGCAGGGCUGCGAACUUCGAACCAUGAACUUCAACCCAGACAAAUGGCCGAUUAUCUGAAGGCAGAUUGAAACUGAUCGUUUGUACGGAAAGCGGGUCGUAAUAGUCCUCAUCGCCGGCAGGUCGAAAAUUUUGGAGCACUUCGGGAGGUAUGACUAGCUUAAAUCCACACUUAAAUCCUUAACAGCACACAGAAAAUUCUCUUUGGUUUCUGACACUCUUCAUGCUCGUGUCCGCGAGUUCCGCAGUUGUAACAAGAACCGAGAUGCGGUGGACGAUGGUUUUCCACCAGGUAAUUCAAAGAGAUGACCGUUUUCUGUGACUGAGUGGGUUUAUUCUCGUUGUUCGCUUUCCCAUGGAGAUUCUUAUCCGGCUGCCCUCGCGAAUCCUUUGGGAGAUUCUGAGGUGGCUUAGUGGCCGGCUGUGAGGCUCCCGGAGCGCUCUUAUAAAAAACCUUUGAUCUGGCAAAUCUCGCAUUUCCCUGCUGCAGUUGGGUUGGCUUUGAACCACUGUAAGCCGGAUUUUCAGAAACUGCAGCUACCUCCUUGGAACCACCAAAUACUAUGGAGUCAAUUGGGGUUCGUGAAGCAUCGAAAGAUUUGCCGACAGUCAGAAGCUCAGCAAGCGUAUUCA